AUUCAUCAGUAGUAUUGCGACCCCUUUUGACUAAAUCAUAAUAAUUGGUUAAUAUUUUGCUUUCAAUUUUUGUAAGAAAUUUUAAAUAUAUUUUAUAAUUUAUAUGUAUGAAAAUUAAUUAGAAGAUUCUAGUAAAUAAUUUAAAAAUUGAUCUUAAUUCGACAUUUGAUAUGAACUAUAAAAAUCCAUAUGGAUUUAGUCAUUUAUUUUGAAAGUAUAUUGAAUUUCAACAAUUCAUCUUUAUAACAAAUAUUUUUGUUAUAGUUUGGCAAAAAUCUGAUAAUUAUUGUUAGCAUCAUUUUUGUUUGAUUGUUCAUUUUAUUUUGAAAUACAUUAGAUAAAAUUAGAUAAUGUGAUAUAUGUUGUUUUGAACUGAAAUAAAAAGAGAAAAAUAUGUGCUCGAGAAGUUCUCCCAAUUCCUUGGCAGCACCAUUGACUUGCCGCUUGCGCUUAGAUUAGUUAGUUCAUUGGUAUCCUAAUGACACCACAAAUAGAAUUCAGGUAAAUGGCAGAUGCAGUCAUUGAUUCUUUCAAGAAUUUACUAUUACUAAGUUUGGUACUUUUCAGUGAUUUUCGCCUUAUUUAUUUGAAGAACUCGGAUCUAGGCCUAUAAUAUAUUCUUAAAAUAUUAAAAUAUAAUUAUAUUUAUAUAUAUAUUAUAUAUAAUUUUUAUAUUAAAUAAAUAAAAUUUUGGUUUUAUUAAGUUUCAAUAAUCUUUCAGUUUUUCUUACAAAAAUAAUUUGAAU
rnacentral:lncRNA from 1 species